ACCCUGGGGAUAACAGGCUUAUCACUCCCAAGAGUUCACAUCGACGGAGUGGUUUGGCACCUCGAUGUCGGCUCAUCGCAUCCUGGGGCUGUAGUAGGUCCCAAGGGUUGGGCUGUUCGCCCAUUAAAGCGGUACGCGAGCUGGGUUCAGAACGUCGUGAGACAGUUCGGUCCCUAUCCGGCGUGGGCGUAGGAUAUUUGAGAGGAGCUGUCCUUAGUACGAGAGGACCGGGAUGGACUGACCUCUGGUAUAUCUGUUGGCUAUCAAAGCCAUGGCAGAGUAGCCAAGUCGGGAAGGGAUAAACGCUGAAGGCAUCUAAGCGUGAAGCCCCCCUCAAGAUGAGAUAUCCCAUCGCAAGAGUAAGACCCCUUGAAGACGACGAGGUAGAUAGGGCAGAGGUGGAAGCAUGGCAACAUGUGCAGCUGACUGUCACUAAUAGGUCGAGGGCUUAACCAG
rnacentral:ncRNA from 3 species